CCCUUAGAGUUUGAUCCUGGCUCAGGAUGAACGCUGGCGGCGUGCUUAACACAUGCAAGUCGAACGAAGCACUUUAUUUGAUUUCCUUCGGGACUGAUUAUUUUGUGACUGAGUGGCGGACGGGUGAGUAACGCGUGGGUAACCUGCCUUGUACAGGGGGAUAACAGUUGGAAACGGCUGCUAAUACCGCAUAAGCGCACGGCAUCGCAUGAUGCAGUGUGAAAAACUCCGGUGGUAUAAGAUGGACCCGCGUUGGAUUAGCUAGUUGGUGAGGUAACGGCCCACCAAGGCGACGAUCCAUAGCCGACCUGAGAGGGUGACCGGCCACAUUGGGACUGAGACACGGCCCAAACUCCUACGGGAGGCAGCAGUGGGGAAUAUUGCACAAUGGGCGAAAGCCUGAUGCAGCGACGCCGCGUGAGCGAAGAAGUAUUUCGGUAUGUAAAGCUCUAUCAG
rnacentral:rRNA from 1 species